UUGAACGCUGGCGGCAUGCCUUACACAUGCAAGUCGAACGGCAGCGCGGGAGCAAUCCUGGCGGCGAGUGGCGAACGGGUGAGUACAUAUCGGAACGUGCCCUGGAGUGGGGGAUAACUAGUCGAAAGACUGGCUAAUACCGCAUACGAUCUACGGAUGAAAGUGGGGGAUCGCAAGACCUCAUGCUCGUGGAGCGGCCGAUAUCUGAUUAGCUAGUUGGUGAGGGUAAAGCCUACCAAGGCGACGAUCAGUAGCUGGUCUGAGAGGACGACCAGCCACACUGGGACCGAGACACGGCCCAGACUCCUACGGGAGGCAGCAGUGGGGAAUUUUGGACAAUGGGGGCAACCCUGAUCCAGCACUGCCGCGUGAGUGAAGAAGGCCUUCGGGUUGUAAAGCUCUUUGUCGGAAAGAAACGGCUGGCGUGAAUAACGGGUUCGGACUGACGGUACCGGAAGAAUAGCACCGGCUAACUACGUGCCAGCAGCCGCGGUAAUACGUAGGUGCCAAGCGUUAAUCGGAAUUACUGGGCGUAAAGCGUGCGCAGGCGGUUGUGAAGCCAGAGUGUGAAAUCCCCGGGCUUAACCUGGGAAUGGCCUUUGGACUGCACCGGCUGGAGUGCGUCAGAGGGAGCUGGAAUUCCGGGUGUAGCAGUGAAAUGCGUAGAUAUCCGGAGGAAUACCGAUGGCGAAGGCAGCGUACUGGGCUACACUGACGCUCAUGCACGAAAGCGUGGGGAGCAAACAGGAUUAGAUACCCCUGGUAGUCCACGCCCUAAACGAUGUCACUGGUUGUAGGGGAUUACAUAUCCUGUAACGAAGCUAACGCGUGAAGUCUGACCGCCUGGGGAGUACGGUCGCAAGGCUUAAACUCAAAGGAAUUGACGGGGACCCGCACAAGCGGUGGAUGAUGUGGAUUAAUUCGAUGCAACGCGAAAACCUUACCUACCCUUGACAUGUCCGAGAACUCCUGCGAGAGGCGGAGUGCCUCGAAGGGAAACGGAGCACAGGUGCUGCAUGGCUGUCGUCAGCUCGUGUCGUGAGAUGUUGGGUUAAGUCCCGCUAACGAGCGCAACCCUUGUCAUUAGUUGCUACGAUUCAUUGGGCACUCUAAUGAGACUGCCGGUGACAAACCGGAGGAAGGUGGGGAUGACGUCAAGUCCUCAUGGCCCUUAUGGGUAGGGCUUCACACGUCAUACAAUGGCUGCGUAUACAGAGGGAUGCCAAACUCGCGAGGGAGCCAAUCCCAGAAAAGCGCAGUCGUAGUCCGGAUUGCAGUCUGCAACUCGACUGCAUGAAGUCGGAAUCGCUAGUAAUCGCGGAUCAGCAUGUCGCGGUGAAUACGUUCCCGGGUCUUGUACACACCGCCCGUCACACCAUGGGAGUGGGUUUCACCAGAAGCCGGUCGCUAACCGCAAGGGAGGCAGCCUACCACGGUGAGAUUCAUGACUGGGGUG
rnacentral:rRNA from 1 species